ACGUCCUGCCAGUUUCAUCCACAAGCACUCACUUCAGAAUUCCCAUCUGCAGACCUGUGAAAACAAAUCUGACUUGGCUUUCUCUGAAACCAAACUCUGACAAAGCUCUACCUACCUUAGAAAGGAGAACUAGGCUGAAACUAAGUUCAAAUACGAACUGAUUUAUUCUACCCUUUAGACAUCUUGCCCCUCAAAAAACUGUAUUUCCCAAAACAGCCUGUCAUCAGUAAGAUGCAUGACUAGCUAUUAAAGUGCCACUCAAAUGACAGCAUGACUGCACUUGGAGCAUGGCCUGUUUGUCAUUGGCAGUGAUUCACCAGCUGAGCUCCAAUUACUUCUUGGCCUACAGAAUGAUUACUCAUGGCUUGAAGACAGCUGGCUCACUAUCAGCACUGAAAGCCUUCAGCUUUGUUCAGAUACCUUAGAUCCUCUGCUUUUUGACUGGUGGCCUUGAAGGGCGAAACAAGGAAACCAGGGAGACAUCGUCUACCACAUAAAAACAGCAGGAAAAAAGUUGCCCAACCACCAGUUGAGGAACAAUGUACUGGGAAACAAAAAAAACAAAAAUGCAGCAAAAUGCUACCAGCUUAAAACCUUUAAAACACUUGUGUCCAUCUGCUUCUACUGGCUACAGUGAAGCUCCUCUGCCUACACAUAUCAAAACACGAAAAUGAACAGUAGAUUCAGCAUUAAAUCCCAAAGUACCUUCCAAUGAACAACAAAUACCAUCAGAGACCACAUUCUGAGAAUCGAAACGUGGAUGGUCGAGUCUCCCAGCUUUUUAGCCUGCCUUCUCUCAGCACACCAUUGGCACAUGCAUACCACUGCUUUGUGAAUGCAGAAUCUUGCUCAACAGAGCACACUGGAUGGCAAUGUCUUGGAGGCUUCGAAUUAGAUUCAAAGAUCUAAUUUAUUUUGUAAUGAAAUCUUAGACUAUUAUUAUAUAUUUUUUGCUUUUAAUAAAGUUUUAUUG
rnacentral:lncRNA from 7 species